GUGUGUGUGUGUCAGCGCAUUAAUAUAGAACGUGAUUAAACUGACCUGGAACUACCUGUGCAGUUAAACGAAUUUAAUCAACACCUGCCAGCCAAUCAGAAUCGAGUAU